GACGAACGCUGGCGGCGUGCUUAACACAUGCAAGUCGAACGGAGUGGCGAACGGGUGAGUAACACGUGGGUGACCUGCCCUGCACUUCGGGAUAAGCCCGGGAAACUGGGGCUAAUACCGGAGAGUGUGGGAUGGGCCGGCGGCCUAUCAGGUUGUUGGUGGGGUAAUGGCCUACCAAGGCGGCGACGGGGAGCCGGCCUGGGCGGGUGGACGGCCACAAUGGGACUGAGGCACGGACCAGACACAGACGGGAGGCAGCAGGCGGGAAUAUUGCACGAUGGACGGAAGCCUGAUGCAGGGACGCCGCGGGGGGGAUGACUGCAUUCGGGUUGUACACUCCUUUCACCAUCGACGCGGUAGGUGGAGAAGAAGCACCGGCUAACGACGUGCCAGCAGCCGCGGUAAUAC
rnacentral:rRNA from 1 species